UUUUGGAAUUUAGGGUUCGAGUUUGCAAUUUUAUGCGAUUAAUUGAGUCGGAAAAAGCAUAAAGGACUGAAUAAAGGAUGUGGGCAACUUCUUGCCGGUUGGUGGUGUCAGGGAUAAGCCGGCGUUCAACUAGGAUUGCAUACUGUGGACUUUUUGCUCUCUCACUCAUUGUGUCCUGGAUUCUUAGGGAGGUUGCUGUUUUUCUCAUGGAGAAAAUCCCAGGGAUUAAUAGCUUUCACACAACACCAAUCAGGGAGUGGUUUGAAACAGAUGUUGUACUGCGAGUUAGCUUGGGGACCUUUCUCUUUUUCACUAUUUUGGCAAUCUUGAUGAUUGGUGUAAAGAGCUAGAAAGACCCAUGUGAUGGUGUUCACCAUGGUGGUUGGAUAAUGAAAAUUAUUUGUUGGUGCGUUUUGGUAAUAUUUAUGUUUUUCCUUCCAAAUGGGAUCAUCAGCUACGAUGGGUUCGAGUUUGCAAUUUUGUGCGAUUAAUUGAGUCGAAAAAAGCAUAAAGGACUGAAUUAAGGAUGUGUGCAGCUUCUUGCUAGACGGUGGUGUCAGGGAUAAGCC